rnacentral:rRNA from 1 species
CCAAUAGCGUAUAUUAAAGUUGUUGCAGUUAAAAAGCUCGUAGUUGAAUUUCGGAAUCAGUACGCCGGUCGUGCCUCCGGUAUGAACUGGUGUCACUGGUUCCUCCCUUCUGAAGAACCAUCAUGCCAUUCACUUGGUGUGGUGGGAAAUCAGGACUGUUACUUUGAAAAAAUUAGAGUGUUUAAAGCAGGCUCACGCUUGAAUACAUUAGCAUGGAAUAAUGAAAUAGGACGUUGAUCUUAUUUUGUUGGUUUCUAGGAUUGACGUAAUGAUUAAUAGGGAUAGUUGGGGGCAUUAGUAUUCAAUUGUCAGAGGUGAAAUUCUUGGAUUUAUUGAAGACUAACUACUGCGAAAGCAUUUGCCAAGGAUGUUUUCAUUAAUCAAGAACGAAAGUUAGGGGAUCGAAGACGAUCAGAUACCGUCGUAGUCUUAACCAUAAACUAUGCCGACUAGGGAUCGGAUGAUGUUAAUUUUUUAAUGACUCAUUCGGCGCCUUAC